rnacentral:lncRNA from 1 species
CUAAUUCAAGCCAUAUCAUAAAUUAGGUUGAAGCCAUCAUAAUCCAAGCACAUCAUUCAUUCAUGGCAUCUACAUGUCCAAUCCUUUACUUCUAGGUAAUAAUCAUAUUAAGAACAUACAUCCAAUCCAAAUAACAACAAAGAACUAGCUACACAUGAUCAUCCAAGGGGAAGAGAAGAAAAAGAGAAAACCAAACCCAAACUGUCAAGUCGGGAUGUACUUGCUUCAUCCUUCUCUUCAAUCUUCUAUUUUUCAAUCCAAUGCUCAUAGCUUCCUUGACCUUCAAUUUGAUCCUCAAUUGUAUUUUUUAGGGUUCUUAGAGAGGGGGAAAGUUGAGAGAAAAAUCCCACCCAAAAGGGUGUUGAAAGAUGGAAU